rnacentral:rRNA from 1 species
CACGUAGGGCGCGAGCGUUGUCCGGAAUUAUUGGGCGUAAAGAGCUCGUAGGCGGCCUGUUGCGUCCGCUGUGAAAGCCCGGGGCUUAACCCCGGGUCUGCAGUGGAUACGGGCAGGCUAGAGGUAGGUAGGGGAGAAUGGAAUUCCCGGUGUAGCGGUGAAAUGCGCAGAUAUCGGGAGGAACACCGGUGGCGAAGGCGGUUCUCUGGGCCUUACCUGACGCUGAGGCAGCGAAAGCGUGGGGA